UACGUAGGGUGCGAGCGUUGUCCGGAAUUAUUGGGCGUAAAGGGCUCGUAGGCGGUUUGUCGCGUCGGGAGUGAAAACCUUGGGCUUAACUCAGGGCUUGCUUUCGAUACGGGCAGACUAGAGGUAUGCAGGGGGAGAACGGAAUUCCUGGUGUAGCGGUGAAAUGCGCAGAUAUCAGGAGGAACACCGGUGGCGAAGGCGGUUCUCUGGGAAUGUCCUGACGCUGAGGAGCGAAAGUGUGGGGAGCGAACAGG
rnacentral:rRNA from 1 species